GGGGAAUUAGCUCAGCUGGUCAGAGCGCUACGUUCACAUCGUAGAGGUCGUAGGUUCGAGCCCUAUAUUCCCCA
rnacentral:tRNA from 1 species